UUUCCCUUAGAAUAGCUGGCAUUUGUGGAUACAAGGUUGCUGCAGUUUUAUCUGGUCAAGUGAAUGAUUAGAGGUCUUAGGGCCAAGAUGAUCUCAAUGUAUUCUCAAACUUUAAAAGGUAAGAAGCCCAGCAUGGAAGAAGGCCGGGCAUGGAAUGCAAGUCGCCU
rnacentral:ncRNA from 1 species